CAGAGUAUUUACAGGUCCUUCCUCUGUCACAUAAGGACCAGUUGGAGCAAGCAUGCCAGACCUUGCUAUCCCGACUGACUUUCAUUUGAGAAAAUCUAUUCUAAUAGGAUUUCCUGGAGGGCUACUGUAACACCAGAACACCAGAAAACAGUACAUUGACUUCAAUAACUUUGUAAACAAGGAUGAUACCUAUUCUCCGGGCCAUGGCAAGUUUCCC